rnacentral:pre_miRNA from 1 species
AUAACUCAAAUUCGUAUGGAUUUGGAACGUUUGCCUACGUUCGCGGCUAGGGGUGUUGUUCCAACUGCAAAUGUUGAGUUA